AUGAUUCAGAGCUGUGCAAACACGGGACAGCUGUACUUCGGGGCCGGUUCCAAGCUGACGGUGCUGGGUAAGGAGGUUAGCUGGGGGCUGAGCGCUCUGCGAGGUGGGGUGGAGACAGGUGGGCAGCUGCCCGGCUUCUGGAGCUGUGCUAGAGGCGGGGCUCGGCGCCUGGGCCGGGACUCCCGGUUCUGGGUAAGCGCGGGGUGCCCGGGGACGCCGGGGAGCGCGGUGGGGCCAGGGGACGGCGGGCCUGUUUUUGUGCUGCGCCGGGGGGCUGUGAGCCAAAAUACCCAGUACUUCGGCGCGGGGACCCGGCUGUCCGUGCUAGAGAACCUGGAAAAGGUCAAACCUCCCACGGUCACAGUGUUUGAACCAUCAGAAGCAGAGACCUCCCGCACCCAGAAGGCCACACUCGUGUGCCUGGCCACGGGCUUCUACCCCGACCACGUGGAGCUGAGCUGGUGGGUGAACGGGAAGGAGGUCCAGAAUGGGGUCAGCACGGACCCGCAGCCCUACAAGGAGCGGCCCAACGAGAAUGGCUCCAGCUACUGUCUGAGCAGCCGGCUGAGGGUGUCCUCUGCCUUCUGGCACAACCCUCGCAACCACUUUCGCUGCCAAGUCCAGUUCCAUGGGCUCGGGGACGACGACAAGUGGGAAAACACCAGCCGGCCCAAACCCAUCACCCAGAACAUCAGUGACGAGACCUGGGGCAGAGCAGACUGUGGCUUCACUUCAGUGGCCUAUCAGCAGGGCAUCCUGUCUGCCACCAUCCUCUAUGAGAUCCUGCUGGGGAAGGCCACCCUGUAUGCCGUGCUGGUCAGCGCCCUGGUGCUGAUGGCCAAGGUCAAGAGAAAGGGUUCCUGAAACCAGCUCAGAGGCAGAGCUAGGAACUUCCAGCUUCUAUUGCCCCAGUAUGGAUUCUCCUUUCUCCACUUCUAGCCGGUGCUUCUCAAGAGCUGUCUUCAUCUCUCUGUUCACCCCAAUAGCUACCCCCUAUGUUCAUGCACACCUGGACGCUCAUGACCCAAAUCUCCCUAACCCAGGGGGGACCCUAGCCUGACCAAAUUGACUGAAUCAAUAAAAAUGGCCUGUUCUGGCUUGACUCUGC